AUGCUGAGGCGUCGGUUCUAUGUGAGGGCCAUUGAAGCUGUGGCUGAACUUGGCAUUUAUUUGGUGAUCUUCGAGUCAGAAUCUUCUGUCCUGGUGAAUGCUCUCAACUCCGAUGAGUAUGAUCGCUCGACGAUUGGCGUGCUCCUGAGGGAGUCUCGCAGUAUUUUCUUUGGGAACUUUGAGUCUUUCGCUUUUAGCUUUUGUAAGCGUGAUUGUAAUAAAGUGGCCCAUGAACUAGCCGUGUUUGGCUACGAGGCAGGUGGUGUAGUUUCAUUGUGGCUUGAUGAACCCUGGACUUUGUAUCGGCUAUUAUCGCGAGCGAUAUUGCUGUGCGGGCAUAGUAAUGGAACGUCUGUGUCCAGCGUAAGAAAAAAUAUCUCUAGGUGA
rnacentral:rRNA from 1 species